GCAGAACUAAAUUUAAGUCUUCAUGAUCUAUAAAAGACUUAUAAAUGCAGAGAAAUUAGCAAGUAGAUUACUUCUAAAGGCAACGUAAAUAAAUGGAAACAUUAUCAAGUUAUGGAUUUCUUUCGAGAUUCCUGUCUGCAAAAAAAUGCUAUUUCCAAUAUUAGUGAUGGAGAGAGCAGCAGCAAUGUUUGCGAGAAUAAUGAAGACAGUCAAGAUACGAGCAUAUCAGGAAAAUUUUUGACCAAGAAGAGAAUCUCUGAAUAUUCCACCGUCAUUGCGACAUCCGUAGGCUCCAAUAUCCACAAAAGUAAAA